CUUAGACUAAGCGGUUCACCUAGAUCAUUGACCAAGUGUUGUUCAUCGUUCAUAGAAGAAAGAUUUUACAUCUGAACACAAAACCUUAUCCUCAAAACUACAUGCAACUAAACAAGCAAACUACACGUUAAGACAUGACCUAGAACAAGAGAUCUCAAAUGCAUACAGCAACCUGAGAUAUUAAAAUCUUUCCACCUUGCAU
rnacentral:lncRNA from 1 species